rnacentral:rRNA from 1 species
AGCUCCAAGAGCGUAUAUUAAAGUUGUUGCAGUUAAAAAGCUCGUAGUUGGAUUUCUGGUAUUACGCGCCUGGCCCGCUUUUAGUGAGUGCCGGUGCGCGUUUGCCAUCCUUCUAGAAAACGUUUCUACCCGGGCAACUGGGCCGGACUCGCGAUCUAGAUCUUUUACUUUGAAAAAAUUAGAGUGUUUAAAGCAGGCUUUUGCUGUGAAUACAUUAGCAUGGAAUAAUAAUCUAGGACUUCGGUUCUAUUUUGUUGGUUUCUAGUACUGAAGUAAUGAUUGAUAGGGAUAGUUGGGGGUGCUAGUAUUGGCCGGCCAGAGGUGAAAUUCUUGGAUUCGGUCAAGACUAACUUAUGCGAAAGCAUUCACCAAGGAUGUCUUCUUUAAUCAAGAACGAAAG